GAGGAAAGCCAAAGCUGGUGGUGAACACUGAAGUCUCCAAGAAUGGAGAUCUUUGCAAAAGGGAAGAGAGUCAGCAUGUGCUCCACUUUGGAAGUUAAGUGGUCAAAGAAUUUCUUAUAGUCAGAGGAGUUAGGUGUGUGUAUGAGAGAGAGAGAGAGAGAGAGAGAGAGAGAGAGAGAGAGAGAGAGAGAGAGAGAGAGAGAGAGAGAGAGAGAGAGAGGUUAACAUGUAUUUCAUCUUCCCUGUGCUUCACACCAGUCUGAAGGACUAAAAGAAGGGAAUAUUUGAGGCAGCAUGAUAUCAUUAGGAAAUGCAUCGCUAUAUUUAGUAUUACAAGUGUCUUUCGUAAACCAAACUGUACUCUGGCAUUCUGUAAGGGUUAGAUAAAAUGCAGUUGGAAUGAUGAGUGAUUUCCCCAUUCACACAUCUGACUGUGGUGUAGUAAGGACUGAAGGGGUUAAGAAGAGUAAGCAAGAUGACAUAGUUUGGUUCGGUCUUUUUAUAAACAUUCAUAGCUGCAAAGGAAUAGUGAACACUAGUCUAUUCUAAGAUCUAGAGUGAGCUACAGUUGUCCAAAUAAAACAUUAAAGUGUAUCCUGUAUUAAUCCCUCACCUUAUAACUAAAACCUGUUAAUUCUCCCUGUCAGGCAAAUGUUUUAAAACUACAAAUUUGUUUUUAAUUUAUCAGAAUGGAUAUAUCUUAUACAUAUUUUUUUUUCAAUCAGAACCAUUUAUAGACAUUUUUUAAGGAUGAGUAUCAUCAUUUAUCUCAAACCAAGUCUAGCAGAAAUUGGUUAAAUCUUUAGGAUCACUGCAUGUGAAUGCAAGGAGUUACAGGUGGUCUGAGUCCCGCAGCAAAGUGUGCCAGAUGUGUGACAUGGGAGAGGAUGAGACGGUGGAACAUGUGGUGUUGGAGUGUGUGAAGUAUGCUAGAGACAGGAAUGAGAUGAUGCAAGUGAUACUGACUGAGUUAGGGCAUGAUAGGAAUGAAAGAGUGGAGAAGACAGGAAAGGAGUGGAUGGUGUUGUUGCUGGGACUGUGUAGAGAGGCCAAUGAAAGGAUGAUUAGAACAUAAGAACAUAAGAAAUAAAGGAAGCUGCAAGAAGCGACCAGGCUUACACAUGGCAGUCCCUGUAUGAAAUAUACCUACCUAUUUCCAUCUAUUAUCCCCAUCCAUAAACUUGUCUAAUCUUCUCUUAAAGCUCUCUAGUGUCCUAGCACUAACAACAUGAUUACUGAGUCCGUUCCACUCAUCUACCACUCUAUUUGAGAACCAUUUUUUCCUAUCUCCUUCCUAAACCUAAAUUUUUCAAGCUUGAACCUGUUAUUUUUUGUUCUAACCUGGUUGCUGAUCCUAAGAAUUUUGCCUACAUCCACCUUGUUAUAACCCUUAUACCACUUACAGACUUCUAUCAGGUCCCCUCUUAACCUACGUCUCUCUAAAGAAUGUAAAUUUAACAGCUUCAACCUCGCCUCGUAAGGAAUACUCCUCAUCCCCUGUAUCCUUUUAGUCAUUCUCCUCUGUACUGAUUCUAAUAGACCUAUAUAUUUCCUGUAAUGUGGGGACCAGAACUGCACAGCGUAGUCUAGAUGAGGUCUGACCAGCGCCAAGUAUAACUUUGAGGCGGUGAAAGAGUUUCUGGAGAGAAUGUGGCGUGCCACAUGUAUGAACAAUUAGGAUAGAGGAUGCUGUUCGUUUCUUUUUUUUCCCCCCUUCUACAGGAGUUGCUAGUCCAAAGGCCUGGCUCAGGAGUGAUCCUGUGCCACCUGUACCAUCAAGAUCUUUGCUGACCAGACUUGAAUCAACAAUGAGACACUGGUUUCAGAGCCUGUUAAAGCACACAAACACUUUGAGGUGGUGGUGGUGGUGGGAGAGUGGGAGUACCUUCAGUCCUCUUCCCUCACCCACCAAGACUGAGGAGCAGUGAAGGCGUUUGGCUUUUCCUGUCUUCCAUGCCCUCAGCUGUGACUCCUUGAUAAGAUCAUCAGCAAGGUACUGCAGAAGAUACAGGAAGAGCAACAGCUAUGACAAUUCUCCCUCUUUGGCCAACCCAAGUAUGGUUCCUGAAAGCCCUCCAACUGCUGGCAGAAACUCCUCUUCUGCUCCCUCGAUAUUCAUUAAUCCUGCCUCAAUAUCCCUCCCUUGUACACCCACAGGCCCAAAGGUUAAUUCUAAUAGCAACGAUCUUAUCGGGCAUGCCUUCCAAAAUCAAGGCCUUUCGCCAGAGGUUGCCGGAUUUCUGCUUAACUAGUGGAGAAAGAGCACAAAAUUACAAUAUGGGAAACAUAUCGAAAGAUGGAUGUCAUUUUGUCUCAGCAGGGAUAUGGAUCCAUUUUCACCACCUGUAAAUGUUUUGCUGGAUUACCUAUUCCUAGAAUUUAAGAAAGAGAAAGCUCGAGGCUAUAGCUCUAUGAACAUUAUCCGGUCAGGCAUCUCAACAGUAGACCUUAUCAAAGGUCAGCCUGCAGGGAGGCACCUCUUAGUCAGUAGGUUCAUGAAAGCAGUCUUCCAGGAGAAACCUUCCUUUGCUCGCCUUCAAUCUACUUGGGACCCAGAAUUGGUUUUAAAUCACCUAAAGAGCCUAGGCCAGAAUAAAGACUUGUCACUCAUCCAGUUGUCGAGAAAAUUAACAAUGCUAAUGUUACUGAUAUCUGGCCAACGUGGCCAAGUGUUACACUUAAUGGACACCAGGAACAUGAGUACCUCAGACUCCAGAAUCUCUUUCCGAAUAGGAGACCCUCUCAAAACAUCUAGGCCAGGUUAUCAUAUAGGAGACCCUCUCAAAACAUCUAGGCCAGGUUAUCAUAUGUCUGAACUAGUUUUUGAAGCAUAUGUACCAGACAGACGAGUAUGUGUACACACCACUAGUUUACACUACCUUGACAGAACGAAAGAAAAAAAGGGGGAAAAUUACCAGAUUCUUUCUAACAACAAAACCAUCCAUAAAACUGGCAUUGAGACACUUUACGACGCUGGACAAGAGAUAUCAUGAAAGCUGCUGGUAUAGAUCUCACUAUCUUUUCUCCUCAUUCCACCAGGUCAGCUUCAUCCAGUAAAGCAGCCCUGAAGCUACCACUGUCCACUAUUUUGUCCACUGUAGGUUGGACCAAUGAGUCAACUUUUGCAAAAUAUUACGAGACCAUUAAACAAACUUUGUCGGUUUGCAAAAGCAGUGUUGUCAUAAGUUUUUGGGUAUGUCGGGUUUAACUACUUUGUCUUGUGUAUAAGGUUAUGCACUUUUAUGAACAAAUGUAUCUCAGUUUCUCUGUAGUUGAGUCACUUGAUUAAAGAAAAUCUUUGGGAA